CCCUCUGAAAUACUCAAACGCACUCUGGAACGCUCCCUCUCGCACACUGUUAAACGCUCCUUCUCACACACUCUGGAACACUCACUCUCCCACACUCUGAGACCCAAACCCUCUCAACACUCUCAAACCUAAAACACUCUCUACAUUCUAGGCUCGUUCAUCUUCAACAACCCUCCAAGGAAGCAUUGAAGCCUUAUUCGACGAACGACAACGUAGUGAAGCCAUUUUAGGGUGUGGAGGCACUCCCGGAGGAGGUUUCCGGAAAUGCAGUCGUCCUAUUGUGUGAGUCCGUUGCGAAGGUUCACGAUGAGAGGGAAUUUGAUCGUGUUCUUGCAAUAGAGGGGAUUGAGCUUAUUGGCAUUAACAACCGCAAUCUUGGUGAUGAUCAACAUGAUGCUGGAGAUGUCAGUGAUGAGGCUUAGGCUUCAUGUUGGAUUACUCUAAUAGAACAUAUGACAUCGGGACGUAAUUAGGACUAAAUUAGGAUUUUGUUUCUAUUGGUUCAUUUGGAAAACAUCAAUUUUUAGUUUCUUUGUAAAUCUUUUAGUUAUGUUAUGUUAUUUGUUUAUGAUAUAAUGUGAUCCUUUCUAUUUGUAUGGAUUUUGAAUUUAUUUAUUU